rnacentral:rRNA from 1 species
AGGUUGAACGACUAGCGGCGAUGCCUAACCAACAUGCAAGUCGAACGGUAACGAGGCCCUUCCGGGUGGCUGACGAGUGGCGGACGGGUGAGUAAUGCGUAGGAAUCUACCCACGAGUGGGGGAGUANCCCGGAGAAAUCCGGAUUAAUACCGCAUAUGCCCUACGGGGUAAAGCGGGGGAUCGUAAGACCUCGCGCUGGUGGAUGAGCCUACGUCCGAUUAGUUAGUUGG